GGGGGUGAUUGGUCUCGACUCCGGACGUCGAGACAGGGGAAGCGGGCCGAGGAAGGCGACGAUGAUCUCGUUAACCACGAAAUGUCGCAAAAAAACUAAGCGCCGACAAUAGUCAGCGUGACUUCGCUCUUGCUGCCUAAGUAGCAAAGCGGGUCUGUCAGCCCGGGAGUGCCUCCGGCUCGGAAUCUGGCAUCGCUAGGAGGAUCACCGCCGGACCCGGCUGCGGGGACGGCGGAACAUCUCACAGCAGCUGGGCCCGUCGCACCGACCUGUGCGCAGGAUCGGUGGGGCCGAGUAGGACGACGCGCACUACGCCCGUAGAAGCCCUGUUGAGCCGCCGGAGGACGCGGG
rnacentral:tmRNA from 1 species